AAUGGAGUUGAAACAACUACGGUAUGGAAUAACACUGUACUUAAUUGCCUGUGGUCAUGAUCUGACCAGUAACUAUCCAGUACAUCAAAUCAAACCAUUUGGCUUUUGGAACUUGGCAGUAACAUCAUUUUUCACUUGUGUCUGCUUUUCUUCUGAUUUUUCUGACCUAGUGCCAUUUUGUUGCAGGUGCGAAAGACUUGCCAAGCAG
rnacentral:misc_RNA from 1 species